rnacentral:rRNA from 1 species
AAUAGAUACCCGGGUAGUCCAUGCCGUAAACGUUGGGAACUAGAUGUAGGGCCUGUUCCACGGGUUCUGUGUCGUAGCUAACGCAUUAAGUUCCCCGCCUGGGGAGUACGGCCGCAAGGCUAAAACUCAAAGGAAUUGACGGGGGCCCGCACAAGCGGCGGAGCAUGCGGAUUAAUUCGAUGCAACGCGAAGAACCUUACCAAGGCUUGACAUAUAGCAGAACGCUCUAGAAAUAGAGAACUCUUUGGACACUGUUAUACAGGUGGUGCAUGGUUGUCGUCAGCUCGUGUCGUGAGAUGUUCGGUUAAGUCCGGCAACGAGCGCAACCCUCGUCCUAUGUUACCAGCGGUUCGGCCGGGAACUCAUGGGAUACUGCCGUGGUCAACACGGAGGAAGGUGGGGAUGACGUCAAAUCAUCAUGCCCCUUAUGUCUUGGGCUUCACGCAUGCUACAAUGGCCGGUACAAAGGGCGGCGAUACCGUAAGGUGGAGCGAAUCCCAAAAAGCCGGUUUCAGUUCGGAUUGGGGUCUGCAACUCGACCCCAUG